CAGUCGCCGCGGGAAUACAGAGGGUGCGAGCGUUAAUCGGAUUUACUGGGCGUAAAGCGUGCGUAGGCGGCUAAUUGAGUCGGAUGUGAAAUCCCUGAGCUUAACUUAGGAAUUGCAUUCGAUACUGGGAAGCUAGAGUAUGGGAGAGGAUGGUAGAAUUCCAGGUGUAGCGGUGAAAUGCGUAGAGAUCUGGAGGAAUACCGAUGGCGAAGGCAGCCAUCUGGCCUAAUACUGACGCUGAGGUACGAAAGCAUGGGGAGCAAACAGGAUUAGAUACCCCCGUAGUCCCUGUCUCUUAUAC
rnacentral:rRNA from 1 species